UUCCUCAGUAGCUCAGUGGUAGAGCGAUCGGCUGUUAACCGAUUGGUCGAAGGUUCAAGUCCUUCCUGGGGAGA
rnacentral:tRNA from 1 species